AGUCUGUAAGCUUUUUUUUUUGAAUACAUGAAUAUAUUUCCAAUGUAAAAUAUUUAAAAAAUAGAGAUAAGUAAAAGUACCCCUUGUCACUCCCUCUAUUCCUCAUCAUUUCCCUACACAGAAGUGACUAGUGUUAACCAUUUCCAGUGUGUUUAUAUAUACGUAAAAUAUGUGGUGUGUGUUGAUUGAGUUUGCUUUUCUCUGGUUUCUUCUAUUAUUCAGAGGCCAGAGACUCAGAAGAGAGCCAGUAAUGGGCAAGGCCUGGGACACCAUGGCUCUCCACACCCUGUGUUAGUCAAGGUCAGCUUUGCUGGCAAGGUUAUAGUUUGUCCUGGGAACCCUACUGCAGGGAGGGGACAGUGAAGGAAAGUAGCCAGGCAGAGCCAUAAAAAGGAAUGCCUCUGUGACUCCGUCAGCCAAUUCCUUGUAAUAAAUUACUGUCAGUAGAGCCCUGUUGCUGCCAAUAAGUUUAGUAUUGUUUCCUAGAUGUCUUUCAUAGAGCAGUCAUUUGAGUGAAAAAAGAUCCCAAAUCUGUUUUGUUUUGUUUUCUAUAGGCCUAGGGUUUGUGGCUAAAUUUCUUGGUGAGGCCUGCUCUUCAAAAGACUAUUUAUUGAACAAGAAAAAACAACUGCAGAUGGCUGAGGCCUUCAGAAUCAGAUUGGAAAUACAUCAGCUCUCCUGGUGCUCCAACUGCUGAUUUCAGAUCCUGGGACUUCUCUGCCUCCACAACCAUUAAUCUCUGUGCCUAACCCAACGUGGGGCUCGAACUCACCACCCCGAGAUCAAGAGUAGCAUAUUCUACUGAGCCAGCAAGGCGCCCCACUGGUCUUUUUGAGCAAUUUGAGACUCCAUGUCCUCAGUGUGGCAGAUUGAAUUUUUCAAAGAUGAAAGCAGCUGUGUCUCCCAUUCUACGCGUUCUUCUACAGUGACCUUGCUCCUCCCAUCAAGAGUUUUCACCCAUCUCCCUGACAGUGAAGCACUCCAUAUGCCUUAAUGUACACAACAUCUGGAAAUACUAUGACAAUCUGAAUAUUCGCUAAAUGAAAAACUACUCUGAGAUGAAUAAUGUCAUUGUUAAUUUUGCCAGGACCUCAACUACAGGUAAGUCUGGAUUAGGAAGACUGUUUUUCCAUGGCUAAAAGAAAACAGAACUAAAAGAGGAAACAUCUUCUUGGAUUCAUUUAUUGCAAUCUUUAAAAAAAAAUUUUUUUUAAUGUUUAUUUUUGAGACAGAGAAAGAGCAUGAGC